rnacentral:rRNA from 1 species
GACGAACGCUGGCGGCGUGCUUAACACAUGCAAGUCGAACGGAAAGGCCCUGCUUUUGUGGGGUGCUCGAGUGGCGAACGGGUGAGUAACACGUGAGUAACCUGCCCUUGACUUUGGGAUAACUUCAGGAAACUGGGGCUAAUACCGGAUAGGAGCUCCUGCUGCACGGUGGGGGUUGGAAAGUUUCGGCGGUUGGGGAUGGACUCGCGGCUUAUCAGCUUGUUGGUGGGGUAGUGGCUUACCAAGGCUUUGACGGGUAGCCGGCCUGAGAGGGUGACCGGCCACAUUGGGACUGAGAUACGGCCCAGACUCCUACGGGAGGCAGCAGUGGGGAAUAUUGCACAAUGGGCGGAAGCCUGAUGCAGCAACGCCGCGUGCGGGAUGACGGCCUUCGGGUUGUAAACCGCUUUCGCCUGUGACGAAGCGUGAGUGACGGUAAUGGGUAAAGAAGCACCGGCUAACUACGUACCAGCAGCCGCGGUGAUACGUAGGGUGCGAGCGUUGUCCGGAUUUAUUGGGCGUAAAGGGCUCGUAGGUGGUUGAUCGCGUCGGAAGUGUAAUCUUGGGGCUUAACCCUGAGCGUGCUUUCGAUACGGGUUGACUUGAGGAAGGUAGGGGAGAAUGGAAUUCCUGGUGGAGCGGUGGAAUGCGCAGAUAUCAGGAGGAACACCAGUGGCGAAGGCGGUUCUCUGGGCCUUUCCUGACGCUGAGGAGCGAAAGCGUGGGGAGCGAACAGGCUUAGAUACCCUGGUAGUCCACGCUGUAAACGGUGGGUACUAGGUGUGGGGUCCAUUCCACGGGUUCCGUGCCGUAGCUAACGCUUUAAGUACCCCGCCUGGGGAGUACGGCCGCAAGGCUAAAACUCAAAGGAAUUGACGGGGCCCCGCACAAGCGGCGGAGCAUGCGGAUUAAUUCGAUGCAACGCGUAGAACCUUACCUGGGUUUGACAUGGAUCGGGAGCGCUCAGAGAUGGGUGUGCCUCUUUUGGGGUCGGUUCACAGGUGGUGCAUGGCUGUCGUCAGCUCGUGUCGUGAGAUGUUGGGUUAAGUCCCGCAACGAGCGCAACCCUUGUUCACUGUUGCCAGCACGUUAUGGUGGGGACUCAGUGGAGACCGCCGGGGUCAACUCGGAGGAAGGUGGGGAUGACGUCAAGUCAUCAUGCCCCUUAUGUCCAGGGCUUCACGCAUGCUACAAUGGCUGGUACAGAGAGUGGCGAGCCUGUGAGGGUGAGCGAAUCUCGGAAAGCCGGUCUCAGUUCGGAUUGGGGUCUGCAACUCGACCUCAUGAAGUCGGAGUCGCUAGUAAUCGCAGAUCAGCAACGCUGCGGUGAAUACGUUCCCGGG